rnacentral:rRNA from 1 species
GGAGGGGUGCAAGCGUUGUUCGGAAUUUACUGGCGUAAAGAGCGCUAGGCGGGCUUCUUAUGUCGGGGUGUGAAAGCCCUGGGCCCAACCCAGGAAGUGCGCCCGAAACUGGGAGGCUUGAGUACGAGAGAGGAGGACGGAAUUCCUAGUGUAGAGGUGAAAUUCGUAGAUAUUAGGAAGAACACCGGUGGCGAAAGCGGUUCUCUGGCUCGAUACUGACGCUAAGGCGCGAAAGCGUGGGGAGCAAACAGGAUUAGAUACCCUGGUAGUCCACGCCGUAAACGAUGGAUAUUAGUUGUUGUGGGCUUAUAAACUCGCAGUGACGACGCUAACGCAUUAAAUAUCCCGCCUGGGGAUUACGGCCGCAAGGUUA